ACAGGGGGAGAAUCUGUUACAUCACAGCAGCACAAAGACAGGGGGAGAAUCUGUUACAUCACAGCAGCACAAAGACAGGGGGAGAAUCUGUUACAUCACAGCAGCACAAAGACAGGGGGAGAAUCUGUUACAUCACAGCAGCACAAAGACAGGGUGAGAAUCUGUUACAUCACAGCAGCACAAAGACAGGGGGAGAAUCUGUUACAUCACAGCAGCACAAAGACAGGGGAGAAUCUGUUACAUCACAGCA